AACUAACGUCUAGGCUAUUUAUUAUUUACAGCAUCGUUUAAAAAUUUACAUGCUAUAGCGUGUAAUUUCGAAUUCAUUUUACCGUUAUUUACGAAUAUAAAUUGUAAUAUAUAUUUGUAACAAGCUAUAAUCAAUAGUAUCUUCAUUAAGAAAGCAUAGUCGACAUUGUUUUUCAGAAAUAAUUCAUUUUUGACAGACAAAUUUGCAGAAAAAGGUGUAAUAAGCUUUGUACACAAUAUUGCCCGUAAUCUAAACAAAAGACAAAAGUUUUCAACCUUCACGUCGCUUCGAUGGAGAAUGUUGCACAGUGCCUUCCGGACAAGAUGAAUUCGUUUCGGAGAGCACGGUGGACGCGAACAGAGCUUAGUAUCGAGUUAGCGAAACGACGCAGGAUUAUAAUGCGAAUCUAAUGCGAAUGAUUCCAAGAUGUUCUCCUGGAUGCACAUGGAAGAAAGAGAGGAGACACGCAGGGAAUGGCGGUUGGCGAAACAUCCGAGUGUUUAUCACGCGACUGAAUGAUUACAACGAUGGUUCGUUGAAGUUCGUUGAAGUUCUCUUCUGUCCUUGAAGUAUGACGUUAGAAGGACGGUCAGUAUUGAUUUUGAUUGGAAAACGGGAAGUUUGAAAUAUCAGCCGAAGAAGGUAUGUAGUUAGAAGCAAACAUUCAAUAUUUGCUGUUUACUGUUAGAUUUUGCUCAAAUAAAAUAUUCCUGGUGGAUCGAUGUCUAUGUGUGAUAGACGCGAGUGUGCGUCUCUGUUGUUUGCUUUGUUAAUUCUUACUGUUACUUGUUUAUGUUCAAGUUUAAUAUUUUUAUUUGUCUUGGGCUUUUGAAAAGCAUGUACAAAUUUUCAGAUAUUUACAGAUGUGUCUACUAUGUUAUAUCGUUCGUGUGUUAUAAUCGUUCAUUGAAAUGAACAAAUAUUUGAAACUUCGCACGAUAAAAAUUAAUAUUCUUUUGCAAGAACUUUAGCAGUGAAAUUUUGCUUGAUUCGUUUAUCUAUGUAGAUUUAAAUUUCUUUAAAAAUUUACUUUAAAAAUAAUUCAAAAUAUUCGAAGUCAUAUUACGUUAUCGGUAACAAUACAGGAAUAUUGUAUAAAUAUGGAAAAUCUAAAAAAGAACCAUGUUUCCUGUUAAAUCAUUCAACGUGACGAAUAAAAGAACAAGUUUCAAGAAUCAAAUUUCAUUCGCACUGUCAAUGAUAUAGUUUAUAUAUGCUGUGAUGAAUCAAACGUCAUAAAUAAUUCAUAAAUAAUACGGAACAAUGCUUAAUAUCAAUAUUCUAUACGCUUAUCUCACAAAAUCUGAGAUAUUAUUCGCUUAAACGCAGACUAUCCAUUCCAAAGAUACACUGUUCGAUCACAGCUCUCUUGAGCUAUGAAAAAAGAAAAAAAAAACGAUUUAGAAGAACCGUAACACAGCAUACUUGCUAUCUGUCGUUCAAUAUUUUAUCUAUUACUAAAUUCGAUUUUGACGGAGCGUCGUGUUUAGCUUUCAGUCAACGACAAUAGAGCAACCUCAACCUCGAUAUACAUCGAGUAUGCGCUCGCGUCACGCGACAAGCCGCGUUAUGAAUAUUGACAAAAAUCGCUCGAUAAUUUAUAGUCGAUUGUGCCAAGUACUCAUGAAUUUAUUCAAUAGAGAACUCGACCUGGGUAAUCCGCUUUCUAUAAGUUGCCGAUCUUGGAUCGACGCGUUUUAUUUCACCCUGGUCUUGUCCUCGAUACACAUGGAACAAUGCGGAAACAUGGUGCUAGCACGCGUCUUGCUUCAACCAGUUUCUUACCUUGCUCCGCGAUUUAUAUUCUUUGGUAUUUGGAAGACAAAUACACGAGGUAUGACUAUCGAGUCUCGAGAAAUAGUUUUGAAAUUGUAACGUUAUAAUCGGAAAAUAUGGCAUAUAUAUAUAUAGUUUUCAAAUUAUCAUAGAUAUAAAUUUAUUAUAGUUAAACAAGUAUCAAACAUACGUAGAUUUUCAUGAGUGUAUGCAUUGUGGCCUUCAGAUGUUUCAUAAAUUUGUCAGAAAUUUGUGCGGAUACGUGUGGUAAUUCGAAAACUGUUCCUCGAAAUUUUAUUUAUUUACGACACAGUGUCUGAAUCAUCGGGGAUAUGGUUUCAUAAUGAUUCGACGACUAUCAAAUGUGUACAUGUAGAAACGUUCAUUCGUCAAAAAUUUCUACACACGUAAUUCGAGAAUUCUGUUUCUCGAAAUUUUAUUCAUCUUUGACAAUAUAGUCGCGAUAUAUGUGUUACACGAGUAUACCGAUACACGACAGCCGAGUCUCAUUUCAGUCCUAACUUUCGAAGCGUUUCGUGUCUAUAGCGCACAUAAUACAUCCAUAAAAGGUGUCUACAAGUGUUCGAACACUUUGGUUGGCCUGUGUAUGAUAAGGUAAAUUUCGUAGGGGUCGCUGGUUAGGGGUCAGAGGUUUCCUCGUAUGUUCCAUGUAAGCCCGGUCUGUUCUCGAGAAAGGGCACACGCGGGCUUCCAAUCAAAUACACGUCAAGGAGCUUAACAAAGGACGGGCAUAAUUCAUUGCGCGUAUUGGUAGCCACGAUCUGGCUUGGUCAAGCAAAAGGGUGAAGGUUGAGAAAAGUAAGAAACAGCGUUGUACGAUGCGAGAAAAAGAGAAGGCUGUAUAUCGGUAGGGGAUAGAAACGAGGGAGAAAAUGCGCGAGAUAACAAACCAGAGAGCUCGCGGCUCUGCCAACCUUGUGAAAUAUGCACCCAUAUAUCAAUGGCGUGCAUAUCAAUUGCCACUACUGCCAACUGGCAUGACUAUAAAGCCAGCCAACUGCUCGGAUGCUGGCCAACGCCGUGGAAUCGUACAGGGAGAAAAGGAAAGAUCCGAGUCCUGGGUCCUACCUCCGUGCUCGGCGAACCUUUCAGGGCCCGCGAGCCUGUUAUUCGAUCGGCCUUUAUUAGCCAUAAAUUUGAUAUGAUACGCGAGGAAUAUGAUAAUGGCCAUCAGGUCAUGGGGAAUUGCCGAACGGAUAGGUCGAUGUUUCGCUCCUUUAACGUGUUGAUGAUGGUGUAUAUAGGUGUAUGCGAUAUAGGUGUUGGGUUGGUAGUGUGGACGUAUACGCUUGACAGUCAUUGGGCGAACCUUUUCGAGGAAGUUACAUGGAGACUGAUUGUAUAAGUAGCUAAGUUGGAAGCCUACGGGGUGGUCAAAAAAUGUAUUAUGGGCAGGUUCAUUUACAGGAAUCUAUUUGGAGAUGAAUACGUAUUUGCGAUAAAGUCUACAAUGUAACUCAAGCUUCUGCACACUUUCUAUUUGGAACCUAUUUGGAGAUGAAUACGUAUUUGCGAUAAAGUCUACAGUGUAACUCAAGCUCCUGUACACCUACAUACUCACGUGUGUAUAUAUGUAUAAACCUUUGUUGAGGUUCCUCAAAUUAAAAAAAAAAAGUAGAAAAGUUAGAGCACCCGGUCUACGAGGAUUAAAUAAUAGGAAUUACUUGCGUUGAGAUAAAUGAAUUCAACUAUUAUGGGAGCUUUAGUUAAUCUACUAACAGAUAAGAUUUCAUUAGAAUUUAAUUUAAUAGGUUAGUAUGUAAUUUAAUUAGUUGAUAGGUUAACGGAGUUCUAUGUCAAAUAAUGCAAGUGUUUCGAGUUUAGAUCGAUCCUAUGAAAGUCAUGAUUGAUCUGACAGAUACAAAUUUGAAUAAAUACGCAGACACGUUUUAAAGCUUACUGUUAUACGAUACAAUAAAUCUGCAUGUUUAUUACAUGCGAAAUUUCUAUAUCUCGAACAUACAAAUAUUAUUUUUAUAUAUGAUUCACGUUGUAGAUAUUUCACACGCAUCCAUCAAUGGAGAUACUUGGUUAAUUCAUCUAAUUUCAUAAUUUAUUUUACACAUUUUAUUCGUACAACGAAUACAAUGUAUCUUACUUAUCAGUCUGUCUCGAAGCUUGUACUUAUAUUCCGUUUAAUAAUUAUAAAUUGAACAUUACUUGUAUAUUUUACGAUCCUUAUAGAAUAAGUGACACUUCAUCGCAGGUUAUAUUCACUGUAUCUCUCAAAUAUAUUACGACUAAAGGAAUUUUUAAGACCUCUAAAGUCUCCAGAAGAUUUUUCUAACGUUCUCAUAAUCUUCCGGAUCGGUAUUCGGCCGGUUUACCAUUUACCGGAAUUCUCGACGAUUUUACUUAACUUUAGUCGUAUUAGAUGCAAUGAUUCACUGGCCGCAAAUGGUCGCACGAUGAACACAAUGCGCUCGUUAACGCGUC